ensembl:lncRNA
UGGAAGUCUCACAUCUCCUGAUUUAAUGGAGCUGCUUUGCACUUUUUACACUGUUUAUUCACCAACACUUUAUUUAAUAAAAGUCCCAUCUAGUUUUUAUGAGGAAAGUGAUGUUUUAAUUUCUCUGUGAAUAACUGCAGUCUAAUGCAACAGCUGGAGUUGUAACAUCUGUCCUGAUAUUGAUCAUGAAGUAUUGAUCAGAAUACUUAUGGUCAGCAGUCAUCCCUGAAGUUUUACAUUAAAAUCUUUACUUGUGUUGUGAACUUUGGUAAGAAGCAGAAAUGUUAGCAUUGCCAUGGAUACAUGAGUAUUAAAUUCUGCAGUCCAGUUCCAGAAUGUGGAGGAAUUUAGUCUCACAAUCACAGACAACAAAUAUUAUCUGAAAGUCGGGCUAUUGUUGUUUAUCAGCACAAUACAAAAAGAUUGUUAGAAAUAUUCCAGUUAAGACUCUAGAAUAUCAUGAUUUAUGUAAAUUUACCUCAAUAAUAUGAAUGUUCAGGUUAAGAUUGUACAGUGAUAUUUAUUAUGUAAGUUUAGCUGAUUGAAGUUUAUGGCUCUGCACUACAAUAUUAUUUAAAUUGAUAUCAUUAUUAUAAUAUUUAGGGUCAGACCCUACAGUAUUGAGAUUAAGAAAUCAAAUAUUCUAUAAAAUGUAAAUACACUGAACUCAUUUGGAUAUAUUUAAGUGAGACUCUACAAUAUUAUUUGACACAAAUCUAUCUAAAUCAAAAUUUUAACCAUUUUUACUCCAAACAUUUACUGGACUGAUUUAAAUAUUAAAAUCACUCCUUUCUAAUCCUCUGCUGUACGUUCAAACCUGAGGCCUUAAAUAGAAACACACAAGUAUCUGUUUGAAGGAACUUCUGCAGAGUCCUGGUUCCAGAACAUGAUGAUAGAAUUAUAGACAAACUUUAACAAAAGCUGCCUGAGAGUUUACAGGUUUUUGUUAGAUUUCUUCAGUAAUUUAAUGAGAGUUAUCAGCAAAAAUCAAGUGUUCAUUUGAUGAACUUCAUUUCCUAAAACAUCCAGAAUUGGAGCUCAUAUCUUUGGCAGCUGUAAAGUUUCUGCUCCUUCAAAGUUUACAACACAAUGAAUUAAUUCCUAAAACACUCUCAAUGCUGGAGAGUGUUUGUGAUGCUGAAGCAGUGACCAGUUUUUCUGUUUCUUCUCUGGAGAUGCACAAUGAGGGACGUCUGCAGAGACUGAGAAAGAGUCUCACCACAUCCUUACAUGAGGAAAAAGACUUUAUUGAAGACUACAAUGAGAAAAACUAUCCAGACAGCAGACGGCUGCAUUCAAGUUUAGGCUGUUAGAUUGUUCCAGAUAAGACAAGUACAAGAUUCUUCAGAGCCGUUCUACCACGAUCCUGACAGGAAGAACUCCAACAGCUACUGAAUGUUCCUGUGGUCCCCUCAAGGCUACAGGAGGAGCCCUACGAGGACGAGCCGGUCCACCUGAUGGCGGCCAGUCGCUGCGGUUCAAAGCCAACACCGACUACGUGGACUUCUACUGGACCACACGGAGGCCUUCAAACCGGACCAACAAGUUCAGCGACUCCCCGACUCGUGGGUCUGAGGACGCCCCCGAGCCUCGGUCCAGCCGGCCUCCUGUCUGUGGGUGUUUGAGUGCUGAGAGGUUUGUGGAUGCAUGUGAACAUGUCUGUGUUGAAACAGCAGCUUUGGACUCAGUAACGCUGGGAAAAACCAAGAGCUCCUUUAUUUGUGACUUCCACUAAAAAACUGAUGAAAAUAAGUUUGCCAGGGUUCUGACUGAUAACAGAUUAUUAAAUAAUGAAAAUAAUCCUUUAAACAAUCCUUUUAGGUCUACAUUUCCUUUACACUGACUUCUUGGUAUAUGUAC